UGCUGUGAGGAGAAGGAAGAGUCAGUGCCUAGAGGAGCUGCCUACAAGAAAUAUCAAGAAGGUUCCUAUGGGAGAAGAGGAGAAAAGACAACAUCUCAGUGUUACUGACACUCCAUGUUGGAGCCGCUGUUUCCUGAACUUCUUUCAGGAUGAAAAGAGGCAAUCAUGCUCAUGUUUGCUGUCUUUAGUCCCACAGUACCCAGCUGACCUGUCCAAGAGGUCCCCUGUGCAUGACUUGGUUCCUGCACUCUGCAAAUGGAGUCCAAGGGAUGAUCCUGUUCUCCAGGCUCUGGAUUCAGCAGGAUUAUUCCCUCAGCUGUUCUGCCUUUACUAUUGGGGUCAUGGCAGGCUUAACCUCAGCAGAGCACCAAAGACCUAACAAAUGGAGCUUGUUAUUCUGGGCUUGGUGCCACGCUAACCUGGUUACAGAGCACGCAGCUGGCACACAGCUGGGCAGGGCUGCUCAGGGCAGCUCAUCCACAGCUGGAGGAACACAGGGCUGCUGCCCCCACCAAGCCUGUGCCAUUCCCAGCAGGAGAGGCCUGGCACCAGGGACUGGGAGCUGCUGGUCCUGCUGUGCAGAGAGAUCUGCCAGGGCCAUGCUGUCCCUGCUGCUUCCCUGCCCUCUGGAACCUUCCAUCCUGCAGCCCUUUGGCCCUGCAGGCCCCACAGCAGGUCCAGCACAACCCCACCUGCUGAUGGGCAGGGCUGCCCUGCCAGGAGGAGCUGGCUCUGCAGGCACCUUGGAAAUGUGGAGGUGGUGCUGCCACUGUGUCAGAUCCUUGCUCCUUUUCACACCAGCAUGGAUAAUGGUGAUUCUCUAGCUCCAGAAGAGCAGCUGGAAUACUCUUCCUCCUGUAAAACUGCCAUCUACCAGAUGUGGCAGGACAGCUGCCCCUAUUGAUGGAGGCAGCACUGCUCAUGUAGAGAAUUGCUGUGCAUUCAAAAAAGGGAUGAUCAAUGAUGUUUUACUUGAUAUCAAUGCAAGUCUGUACCUGCAGGAUGAUGCUCUGAGAUGAAAAGUGAAGAUCUAUCUAGGAAAUGGUGACGGUUUCAGUGAAACAGUGUCCAGCCCAUCAGCUAAUGGAAAACACCUCUGUGAUUUAUCAAUACUAGAAUUUCAGCUGAAAAUGCAGACUUGAAAUAUUAAUUCUGAAUAUAGUCCAAUAAAUAAAUCCCUGGGCAUUUUAUUAGAUAUACUGUAUAUAAAAAAUCCUAAGGAUUUUACACUUCCUAGAAUUUACAGGAUUUUCUUGUUGGACAUCUUAUAGCAGGAAGAACUGCUUGAUCUCAGGAACUACUGUUUAAGUAAGUACUUUUCUACAUCAUGCAUAUACUUUUUGCUUGGUUCUUCUUACAUUGUAUACCUGCCUGAUUUUCAUAAUUUGUCUCUUUGGUAUGGAUUUUUAGAAAAUAUCUGUAUUAUACUGUGUGUCAAAUAUGAAACAGAAUAAAUUCAGUUCUAAGCUAGGUAGCUAAAGUUACUGACACGGGAUCCAAUUCACAACACCUUUCAGAAACAAUGAGAAUAAAGGGAACAAACCUCAACUUCUCUCCCCCAUACAAAACCUGCAGGAACAAUGAAGUUUGUGGCUGGAAAGCACAAGUGUCUUCGGUGACACUGAGCUGCCAGCCAGUACUUACAAACAGCACUUGACCCUUCAGUAACAUCAAAAGGAGAACUCUUCCAAUAUGUGGUAUUUCCUCUGCAGUAAGAUUACAUUGUACCUUUGCAGCAAAAGAAACUCAGACAAACUUAUUUUUCUGCUUCAACUUACAGUGUUAGCUGGCAAGAAGAAAUAUAAUUAAGACUAUGCAACUUAAUUUUGUGUUCAGCUUCAAGUACUUGGUUAUUUCCCUGGUGGAACCCUGCUCAGAUUAGUGAUAGAGCCAGGGCACUUGUCUCCAGUGACUGCACUUCAGCCAGCUAAGCCUAAUUCCUGCUGAUCUGGGAAUGGU